AUUCCUACGGGACGCAGCAGUAGGGAAUCUUCCACAAUGGGCGAAAGCCUGAUGGAGCAACGCCGCGUGGGUGAAGAAGGUCUUCGGAUCGUAAAACCCUGUUGUUAGAGAAGAGAGUGCGUGAGAGUAACUGUUCACGUUUCAACGGUAUCUAACCAGAAAGCCACGGCUAACUACGUGCCAGCAGCCGCGGUAAUACGUAGGUGGCAAGCGUUAUCCGGAUUUAUUGGGCGUAAAGGGAACGCAGGCGGUCUUUUAAGUCUGAUGUGAAAGCCUUCGGCUUAAUCGGAGUAGUGCAUUGGAAA
rnacentral:rRNA from 1 species